AUUUAAUAAUUGUUUUAACCUGUUUUGUGAGAAGUUAAGCUAGUAUGCCUUUGUGGCUAGUUUUAAAAGUAUGCACUUGUUUUACAGUGUGGAAUAAGAGCCUAUGUUGUAGUGAACUGCAGCCCUGUGUAUGCCGGUGAGCCAGUGUGCAUUGUGGAAGUCCAGAUACAGGUAUCUGAUGUUUCUGUUUAUUAUUUUGUGGGCUGCAGGUAAAAUUAAAUCAUACAGCAUGCUUAUUUGGCUGUUUUUGUUUUAAAGCAGUAACAUCCAGUAGUGGACAGCAGUAACAAGGGAAGUGGAGCCCUUCCAAGGCAGAUAUAUAGAAUGUUUAGAAUAUAGGAGUAUCCCUGGCCAGUGAAAAUUAAUUAUUGUUCUUUCCUUCCCCUUGAAACUUUUAAUAGUAAUAUAUAUAUUAAAGAUUGGGUUUUAAAGGUAUCAAACGUUAAUUGACUUGAGUGCCAAUUCUGUUUUAAAUUAAAUUUGCAUCACAUUCAAUUGAACCAGUUGGGCAGUGUGGGGCCUGGUGGGAGGUGGUAUUAUUAUAAUCUCGUGUUAACUAAGCUGAGGUACAAGUCGUGAGGGUUCUCUUUUGGGGUGGAGUGUGUUUUCUUUAAGUAAAUUUUGAAUUUGUUUGAUUUUGAGUUUGUUGUGUUAUCUAUUUUAUUUAUUAUUAUUUUUUAAGUAUUUGGUUAUAAUUGAGCCCUUAAACUCUUGUAAACUCUCGUUUAUUUUCUUUUGGGGUAUUAUACUACUAGCUUUCCCACGUUCACGCUACCAGGCAAUUAAUUCCUUUAUUAACACUGCCAAUUGUGGAUUUUGGGUCAAUUCAUGUGAGCAAACGAGUGGUUGUUUUUUUUAUUUUUUUUUAUUUUAGACUUUCUAAUAAAGACACAUUGUGAAACGUCA